rnacentral:rRNA from 1 species
AGAGUUUGAUCAUGGCUCAGAACGAACGCUGACGGCAGGCCUAACACAUGCAAGUCGAACGAUACAGUGGCAGACGGGUGAGUAACGCGUGGGAACGUACCUUUCGCUAUGGAAUAGCUCCGGGAAACUGGUGGUAAUACCAUAUACGCCCUUAGGGGGAAAGAUUUAUCGGCGAAAGAUCGGCCCGCGUUGGAUUAGCUAGUUGGUGAGGUAAUGGCUCACAAAGGCGACGAUCCAUAGCUGGUCUGAGAGGAUGAUCAGCCACACUGGGACUGAGACACGGCCCAGACUCCUACGGGAGGCAGCAGUGGGGAAUCUUGCACAAUGGGCGAAAGCCUGAUGCAGCCAUGCCGCGUGAAUGAUGAAGGCCUUAGGGUUGUAAAAUUCUUUCGUCAGGGAUGAUAAUGACCGUACCUGAAGAAGAAGCCCCGGCUAACUUCGUGCCAGCAGCCGCGGUAAUACGAAGGGGGCUAGCGUUGUUCGGAAUUACUGGGCGUAAAGCGCACGUAGGCGGACUUUUAAGUCAGGUGUGAAAUCCCGGGGCUCAACCUCGGAACUGCAUUUGAAACUGGGAGUCUUGAGACCAGGAGAGGUUAGCGGAAUACCGAGUGUAGAGGUGAAAUUCGUAGAUAUUCGGAA